UACAGAGGUCCCGAGCGUUGUUCGGAUUCAUUGGGCGUAAAGGGUGCGUAGGUGGCGCUGUAAGUGGGGUGUGAAAUCCCGGGGCUUAACCCCGGGACUGCAUUCCAUACUGCGGUGCUUGAGGACUGGAGAGGAAGGUGGAAUGCUUGGUGUAGAGGUGAAAUUCGUAGAUAUCAAGCGGAACACCGGUGGCGAAGGCGGCCUUCUGGACAGUGACUGACGCUGAGACGCGAAAGCGUGGGGAGCAAACAGG
rnacentral:rRNA from 1 species